CGGACCCUCCAGGGAACGCCCUUGAGUAACUGGCGCCAUUGGGACCCGUUCCCACAGACUCAAGAUGGCCUGGUAGAUGCACCCGGCACGCGCCUCUCCUCCGACGGGAACCGAAGGAGACGGAAGAAGUCCUCCCCUACAAAGCGACUUCACAAACUUGGAAGAAGCCACUUUCACAGGAUGCGCAGAUCUCAACGGAAGGACACAGAAAACAUGAAAAAGCAAGGAAAUGGGCCGCCUCCAAAGGAACCCAGUAAUUCUGCAGCAGCAGAUCCCCAUCCAAAAGAAACACAAGAUAUUUUGGAGAGAGAAUUGAACAUAGAGAUUAUACAGUUGAUGGGCAUAAUGCAAGCAUCAUUUGGAAAAGAACAGAGAAAAAAGAUGGAAGUAGUUACCGUUCUACAGGAAGAAAUUACCAACUUCAGUGAUAUUCCUAAAAGCAACCUAAGGAUACUUCUGAAACUGAAGAAAUCACUGGAUGAAAUACAAAGCAAACUCAAAAGCUUCAAUGAUAGACUAGACCAAGUAGAAGAAAAACUCUCAAAACUUGAAAUCUGAGGCAUGUUUCUUAAAGAUUUAAAGGGUUAUACUCUGACCAUUAAUGUGAACAAAAUCUUCUGGGUUAAUUCUUAUACUGGGGUCUUGGAUAAUCAUUAAAGUAAAAUGAGAAUAAUUUCUUUUCGAGAUGA